CUGAUUUUCUCUGGCUGCCCUGUAGCCGAUGAGAACAGGGUUUCACGCCACAUCCCACCUACCGCUGGGGGCCCUAAAAUAGGACAAUGGACUCGCCCUCGCUGGUUACAAUUCCCUCUCGUGUUUUCCGGUGAUGAACAGGUUCAGAGUC